rnacentral:rRNA from 1 species
UACGUAGGGGGCAAGCGUUGUCCGGAAUCAUUGGGCGUAAAGCGCGUGUAGGCGGUUCGAUAAGUCUGCUGUGAAAGUCCAGGGCUCAACCCUGGGAUGCCGGUGGAUACUGUCGGACUAGAGUGCGGAAGAGGCGAGUGGAAUUCCCGGUGUAGCGGUGAAAUGCGCAGAUAUCGGGAGGAACACCAAUUGCGAAGGCAGCUCGCU